rnacentral:rRNA from 1 species
GAGGAAACUCGAGCUAAUACCGGAUGUCUUCUUCUGAUCGCAUGGUCGGAUGAAGAAAGAUUUAUCGCUUCGGGAGGGUCUCGCGGCCUAUCAGCUAGUUGCGGGGUAAGGCCCACCAAGGCGUCGACGGGUAGCUGGUCUGAGAGGACGAUCAGCACACUGGGACUGAGACAGGCCCAGACUCCUACGGGAGGCAGCAGUGGGGAAUAUUGCGCAAUGGGCGAAAGCCUGACGCAGCAACGCCGCGUGCGGGAGUGAAGGCCUUCGGGUUGUAAACCGCUUUCAGUGGGGACGAAUUCAGACGGUACCCACAGAAGAAGCCCCGGCCAACUACGUG